rnacentral:rRNA from 1 species
AUGCCAGUAAUGGCUCCCACGCAGCCCCAAUAUCAUCGUGACCGGGAGCGGAGAGAUGCACAUCCGAUGCAUGAAGUGGUCAGACUGUGUGGUGGUAUCGCAUGCUAUAGCGUAAAAGCAAAGUUCAUGCCACAUAUUUCCCCAGAAGAUGAGUGCAUGUCCUUUGAUUUCGAGAAAGUGUGCGUCGUUGAUCACUCACUUUCGAUAAACAAAGUCGCACAGGACCACCCAAAUUCCAAGCAGCAUGCAACAAAUUCAGUGUUGUACCAAAUUUCACUUUUAUCAUUUAUGGAAAAGUUGAAAUUUGUCCAGUUACUACUGAAAAAAUAUAGGGGAUUUUUUAAUUCGGCAAAAAAUGUGCCAACAACUGCAAUAAUCUUACAGUCAUAG